AGCAGUCGAGCGGAACGAUGGGAGCUUGCUCUCAGGCGUCGAGCGGCGGACGGGUGAGUAAUGCCUAGGAAUCUGCCUAGUAGUGGGGGAUAACGUUCGGAAACGGACGCUAAUACCGCAUACGUCCUACGGGAGAAAGUGGGGGAUCUUCGGACCUCACGCUAUUAGAUGAGCCUAGGUCGGAUUAGCUAGUUGGUGAGGUAAUGGCUCACCAAGGCGACGAUCCGUAACUGGUCUGAGAGGAUGAUCAGUCACACUGGAACUGAGACACGGUCCAGACUCCUACGGGAGGCAGCAGUGGGGAAUAUUGGACAAUGGGCGAAAGCCUGAUCCAGCCAUGCCGCGUGUGUGAAGAAGGUCUUCGGAUUGUAAAGCACUUUAAGUUGGGAGGAAGGGCAGUAAGUUAAUACCUUGCUGUUUUGACGUUACCGACAGAAUAAGCACCGGCUAACUCUGUGCCAGCAGCCGCGGUAAUACAGAGGGUGCAAGCGUUAAUCGGAAUUACUGGGCGUAAAGCGCGCGUAGGCGGUUUGUUAAGUUGGAUGUGAAAGCCCCGGGCUCAACCUGGGAACUGCAUCCAAAACUGGCAAGCUAGAGUACAGUAGAGGGUGGUGGAAUUUCCUGUGUAGCGGUGAAAUGCGUAGAUAUAGGAAGGAACACCAGUGGCGAAGGCGACCACCUGGACUGAUACUGACGCUGAAGGUGCGAAAGCGUGGGGAGCAAACAGGAUUAAGAUACCCUGGUAGUCCACGCC
rnacentral:rRNA from 1 species